rnacentral:rRNA from 1 species
UUUAAGGUCUAAUCUGCCCUAUGAGGAAUUAAAUGGCCGCGGUAUUUUGACCGUGCAAAGGUAGCAUAAUAAUUAGUUUUUUAAUUGAAAGCUGGAAUGAAUGAUUGGACGAGAAAAUAGCUGUCUCAAAUUAAUUUAAUUAGAAUUUUAUAUUUAAGUAAAAAAGCUUAGAUUUAUUUAAAAGACGAGAAGACCCUAUAGAGUUUUAUAGUUAUAUAUAUACAUAUAUUUUUUAGUAUUUUAAUUUUAGUAUAUAUGUACUUAUUUUAUUGGGGUGAUAGAAAAAUUGAAUUAACUUUUUUUAUAUUUAAACAUUAAUGUAUGAUUUAAUGAUCCAUUAUUUAUGAUUAUAAGAUUAAAUUACCUUAGGGAUAACAGCGUAAUUUUUUUUUAGAGUUCUUAUCGAAAAAAGAGAUUGCGACCUCGAUGUUGGAUUAAAAUAGACGUUUGGUGUAGGGGCUAAAUAGUUAGGUCUGUUCGACCUUUAAAAUUUUACA